AGCGGCAUCAUUGCACUGUGACUGUGCACGUCCCAAACAGUAUGAACACAAAUGUCCUCAAGCUGCAUGUUAGCAGGGCUUCUAAGUCCAUCUGCAAGUGAUAGCGAGUGGAGCUCAGUCGCACCGAGCACAUGUUCCUGGAGAAGAUAUGGGUCUGUGUCAUCCUGCAUGGGAAUGAUCCUAAAACCAAAGUGAUCAACGACUGCUCAGGACUGUGGAAAGGUCACUUGGAACCGUGGGAAAAAGUCUGGCAGAGGAAUAAGAAGACACAGGUCUUGGAACCAGGCCUGGGACUUCAACCAAGUCAUUUAACAUCUGGAGCCUUGGUUUAUUUAUCCUCCUAGCAGAUAAAGCAACACCUGCCCUGUCUGCUUAACCUUGGAGAGGUCAGUACAACAAUGGCUGUGAAAGCGUUUUGUAAACUGUACUGCAAGCACAUGACGGGGGGUGGGGAGUGAGCCAUCCUUUCACUGGCAACUUGAAUAAGGGGAUAGAGAAAAGGCUCAGAACUUCAGAAAAGGCAAGAGGGACUUGACCCUGGACUGGGAGAGGAAAGCAAUGGUGGGAUCCAUACCUUGAAGGGCCAAGGACGAAGGGGUUAAGGGUCCAUGAGGACAGGCUGGGAUCAUCAGGAAGCUGAGUGAGGUAAGAGUGUGGGUGCUUCAAGGACUGGGUGGACUAUAGUCCUAUCAAGGCCACAGUAACCCAGGCCUUGGAGAUAUCACAGAGGGAGGGGCUCCCAGAGCUGAGAUAAUCUGCAGAAGAGGAUUCCACUGACUGCAUUCUGAGGCUGGGUUCAACCUUAUACACCACCUUGGAUAGACGUUUUCCAGCUCUUCUUUUUUUGGAACAGAGAGAACCUAGGUGACCCUUAAAGUUCCACAGAGUAGAGUUUGCAAAUCUCUGGUUCAGCCUCGUUAUUUUAAUGAGAUGAGAAUGGAAUCCCAGAAAAGAGAUGUGAUUAUCUGAAGGUCACACAGCAAGUUAGUUGCCAAGCUGCAACUGGAACUCAGAAUUUCUGGUCCCCGGUUCUGUAUCUUAGCCUCCCAAACUGGCUAUGUGGACAGAAAAGAACAGAGGCAUGGGUGAACUUGAAGGAUGUGAUUUCAUAGGAUUCUAAGAGUCUCAAGGUUAGAGAAGUCACCUAGUCCACCUCUCCUCUCUGCUUCCCACAAAAGGGCCUGCUGAACAUUCUGGUGACAGAGAACUCAUCCAACAUGUUCUAUAGCAGAGGCUCUUCAUUAGAUCAAGGUGACAUCUGUUUUACUGGAGCUUCCAACCACAUGUCCCAUUACUGCCCUUAGUCACAUGCAUCCAGAUCCUCUUUCUCAGGACAACGUUUUGAGUAAAUGAGGACAGCUCCCA